AAAUUGAAGAGUUUGAUCAUGGCUCAGAUUGAACGCUGGCGGCAGGCCUAACACAUGCAAGUCGAGCGGUAGCACAGAGAGCUUGCUCUCGGGUGACGAGCGGCGGACGGGUGAGUAAUGUCUGGGAAACUGCCUGAUGGAGGGGGAUAACUACUGGAAACGGUAGCUAAUACCGCAUAAUGUCGCAAGACCAAAGUGGGGGACCUUCGGGCCUCAUGCCAUCAGAUGUGCCCAGAUGGGAUUAGCUGGUAGGUGGGGUAACGGCUCACCUAGGCGACGAUCCCUAGCUGGUCUGAGAGGAUGACCAGCCACACUGGAACUGAGACACGGUCCAGACUCCUACGGGAGGCAGCAGUGGGGAAUAUUGCACAAUGGGCGCAAGCCUGAUGCAGCCAUGCCGCGUGUGUGAAGAAGGCCUUCGGGUUGUAAAGCACUUUCAGCGGGGAGGAAGGCAUUAAGGUUAAUAACCUUAGUGAUUGACGUUACCCGCAGAAGAAGCACCGGCUAACUCCGUGCCAGCAGCCGCGGUAAUACGGAGGGUGCAAGCGUUAAUCGGAAUUACUGGGCGUAAAGCGCACGCAGGCGGUCUGUCAAGUCGGAUGUGAAAUCCCCGGGCUCAACCUGGGAACUGCAUUCGAAACUGGCAGGCUAGAGUCUUGUAGAGGGGGGUAGAAUUCCAGGUGUAGCGGUGAAAUGCGUAGAGAUCUGGAGGAAUACCGGUGGCGAAGGCGGCCCCCUGGACAAAGACUGACGCUCAGGUGCGAAAGCGUGGGGAGCAAACAGGAUUAGAUACCCUGGUAGUCCACGCUGUAAACGAUGUCGAUUUGGAGGUUGUGCCCUUGAGGCGUGGCUUCCGGAGCUAACGCGUUAAAUCGACCGCCUGGGGAGUACGGCCGCAAGGUUAAAACUCAAAUGAAUUGACGGGGGCCCGCACAAGCGGUGGAGCAUGUGGUUUAAUUCGAUGCAACGCGAAGAACCUUACCUG
rnacentral:rRNA from 1 species